rnacentral:rRNA from 1 species
UGGGGAAUAUUGCACAAUGGGCGCAAGCCUGAUGCAGCCAUGCCGCGUGUAUGAAGAAGUCCUUCGGGUUGUAAAGUACUUUCAGCGGGGAGGAAGGCGAUAAGGUUAAUAACCUUGUCGAUUGACGUUACCCGCAGAAGAAGCACCGGCUAACUCCGUGCCAGCAGCCGCGGUAAUACGGAGGGUGCAAGCGUUAAUCGGAAUUACUGGGCGUAAAGCGCACGCAGGCGGUCUGUCAAGUCGGAUGUGAAAUCCCCGGGCUCAACCUGGGAACUGCAUUCGAAACUGGCAGGCUAGAGUCUUGUAGAGGGGGGUAGAAUUCCAGGUGUAGCGGUGAAAUGCGUAGAGAUCUGGAGGAAUACCGGUGGCGAAGGCGGCCCCCUGGACAAAGACUGACGCUCAGGUGCGAAAGCGUGGGGAGCAAACA